GCCCGGGUGGCGAAACUGGUAGACGCAGCAGACUUAAAAUCUGCUGGCCCUUUGGGCCGUGCCGGUUCGAGUCCGGCUCCGGGCACCA
rnacentral:tRNA from 1 species